AGCUGAUCGCCAACCAGGAGAUCAAAAUGAUAGCAUCUGCUCCUGCCACUUUAAGGAUGGUAAGAAGGAGGGGGGCCCUGCAUAUUUUGCAUGGAAUGAAGGAAAGGCCAUGAAUUUCUCUGAUCCUGAAUGUACACAAAGUUGAAGAAAAAACUCAAAAGUGAGGAGUCCCUGUCAUCUUCACAGAUGGACCAGUUGCAGAUUCCACAAGCACCAAAAUGUCAAGAUCAAGAAAAAUUGAUAUCAGAGCACAACUACUCAGCAUCCUGCACAUUUAACUGUACUCAAGAAAAGCAGCGCCUCUCAACAGAAAUACAGCAACUGGAAAAGGAAUUGCUUGCCCUAAAAAUCGAGUCUAGUUAAAGGAAGCCAAUGUCAAUUCACAAUAUUAAAGACAACAAAGAGAAGAUGCUUUUGUAUACAUCCCUACAGUAUGACAUAUUUGAAAUCUUAAGUCAGAUUGUUACAACGAUUUGAACUCGAUUAUUAUAAUGGCUGGACUCCUUCAAUGAAAACAGAGGACCAACUGCUCAUUGUACAAGUGAAGUUAAAACUCAAUCUGUGGGACACUGACUUGGCUCAUAGAUUCUGUGUCAGUCGACCAACAGUUUUGAACAUCUUUCAUACCCUUGUUCAUGCGCCAUGCACUACACAAGAUGCUGUCUGAUGGCGUAGUUAAUGAAUGUUUUCCAAGUCAGCUAAAAUGCAAAGGGUCUCUGCCAAAAUCUUUCGAGGAUUUUUCCUCUGCUAGAGCAUCCAUGGAUGCAAUUGAAACAAUCCAGGACAUCCCAACACAUAUGGACAAUCAGGCCAUGGCCUACAGUAUGUACAAAAGUCGCCAUACUGUUAAAGCAGUGACUUGCAUGGCUCCAAACGGUGCACUUACAUUUUGCUCCAUGCUGUACCCAGGUUCUACUUCAGAUGUAGCUAUUGUACGUCACAGCCAAGUUUUACGAAAGUUCAAAGCUGGAGACCUUAUUUUGGCGGACAAAGGUUUCACCAUUCAUGACCAGUUGCCCCAGGGUGUCUGCUUUAAUAUACCAGCUUUUUUAUAGACAUGAGGCCAGUUUACCAAACAAGAAGCAGCACUGUGUUACAAGAUUGCUAAAGCACGUAUUCAUGCGGAAAGAGCCAAAGAGAGGAUAAAGAAUUACAAGAUUCUCCGUCACAUCCCAUCUACUUACAGACCAAUCUCAACAAAAAUAUUUCAACUCUGUUCUUGUCUUGUAAACUUGCAAGCUCCACUUUUGAAAGAAAUU